UCAUGCAGUCGAGGGGCAGCACAGGUAGCAAUACUGGGUGGCGACCGGCAAACGGGUGCGGAACACGUACGUAACCUUCCUUUAAGUGGGAGAUAGCCCGAAGAAAUUCGGAUUAAUACCCCAUAAGAUUGUGGAGUGGCAUCACUCAGCAAUUAAAGAAAUUCGCUUAAAGAUGGGCGUGCGGCUGAUUAGGUAGUUGGUGAGGUAACGGCUCACCAAGCCAACGAUCAGUAACUGGCGUGAGAGCGCGACCAGUCACACGGGCACUGAGACACGGGCCCGACUCCUACGGGAGGCAGCAGUAAGGAAUAUUGGUCAAUGGACGCAAGUCUGAACCAGCCAUGCCGCGUGAAGGAUGAAGGUCCUCUGGAUUGUAAACUUCUUUUAUAUGGGAAGAAACCACUUUUUUCUAAAGGUGUUGACGGUACCAUAGGAAUAAGCACCGGCUAACUCCGUGCCAGCAGCCGCGGUAAUACGGAGGGUGCAAGCGUUAUCCGGAUUCACUGGGUUUAAAGGGUGCGUAGGCGGAUUAGUAAGUCCGUGGUGAAAUCUCCGAGCUUAACUCGGAAACUGCCGUGGAUACUAUUAAUCUUGAAUACUGUGGAGGUUAGCGGAAUAUGUCAUGUAGCGGUGAAAUGCAUAGAUAUGACAUAGAACACCAAUUGCGAAGGCAGCUGGCUACACAGAGAUUGACGCUGAGGCACGAAAGCGUGGGGAUCAAACAGGAUUAGAUACCCUGGUAGUCCACGCCCUAAACGAUGAUUACUCGACAUUUGCGAUAUACAGUAAGUGUCUGAGCGAAAGCAUUAAGUAAUCCACCUGGGAAGUACGACCGCAAGGUUGAAACUCAAAGGAAUU
rnacentral:rRNA from 1 species